AUAAACUUUUUCACCCUUAUUAAAUUUAUUGUUAAUUAAUUAAUCACGUUUUUAUUUAUUAUAGGAUAAACUUCAAAUACCACCUAUGGUUUCACACUUUCUUCCUUUAGUACCCUAUAGUUUAAAGUGUAUCAAUUUAGUAUCUGUAAUUUUAUUUUUCCUUUUUCGUUAGCUCCUCCGUUAACAUUUUGCUAAAUUAUAUAUAAAAAAUUUCAGAUAACCUAUCUAAAUUUAUCGAAUAUUCACUUUAAUACAUUUUAGUUUUAAUUUUAUAACUGAUUUAAAAAAAUAUAAAAAUAAAAAAAAUAAAAAAUAAAAUAAAAUUAUAAGUACUAAAUUAAUAUGCUUUAAAUUAUAUAAUUUAAAGUACUAAACUAUAAAAAU
rnacentral:lncRNA from 1 species